UUUUUUUUUUUCUUUCAAUUUUCUUUCUUAUCUGUUCAGUUAGCAACUUUUGCUCUUCUUCUCUUUCAAAUUAAAGUAAACAACUUUGCUUCCACCGCUAAUAGUCCUUUCCGGCCAUCCCUCGUCACCGUCCGGUCUCCUCUGAUCAUGAAACAACAACCCUUAGACUCUUCCAUUUCUCCUAUACAAAACUCAUCUUUUUGUUUCUCAGAUCUAUUAUAUUGAUUUUUGUCACCUAGAAUCCGUUUUGACUAAACUAAAUUCAAAAAUUGCAUCUCCACAAAUACGUUUCUUCAUGCAUAUAUACCACAACUUGUCCAUUUCUUCUGUUUUUCACUCAAAAAUCAUGAAUGAAAUCGUUAUACACAUAAAUCAAGCUCGUCAAACCGCCACAUGCAGCGUGACAUGGAGGUUUGUAGCAGUGAGGAUGCGUGGUUGCAUUUUUCUGUGCUAGAUCUAAAAAUUUUGAGCAGGACUCAGGUGAAAUCUAAACAUGAUUUAUUCAAUUGUAUCUUAUAUGAUCAUGUUUCAACUUUUUUCUUAUGUAAACAAAAUACUUGAAUAAGUUUGUAACUUUUUUUAUUCUGUUUUCGAUUUUGAUUUUCAAGACACAUUUAUAUUUUUUUCUUCUCUUCAAAAUAUGAAAGAGAUUCCCUUAUUUCUGGUAUAUAUAAACAAAAUCUCUUUUGUAGAUGUUCUGCUUUAGAUAUAUGAGGUUAUUUGGUUUUGAGUGGUGGGUAAUAUUUUGAGAGUCACCAUAUUAAAGGGGUUGUUGCUGAAAUACAGGACAAAAGCACACCUUUAGUGCAGAAGGUCUCAAUAUAUAUUAUUUGUUCUAAUUUUGAUGGUGCUUCAUUGGAUAUAUAGUUUGCUUCUUUGUGAUCAUCAUCCGAGUCAUAUAAAUACUUGCAAUGAAACAUUAUUCAGCCUUCUAAUCCUUCUGUAUUGCUACAUCUGGAUAUAUCAAUAAUUCAGUAGAGAGCAACAUCAACCUAAUUCAAUAAUUCAUAUAUUGGCCUCUUUUUAUUUUAUUUUGAUAAUAAUUGAUACAAUUUUAUCAAUUGUAUUCUAAACUCUGCUUCAAUGAUGUUCAUUAUCUAGAUGAAAGAUAUGAAUUACACCAGUGCUCAACAAUUAUACACCAUUAUAGGGUGAUGAUUCCCUAACACCACCAAUUCAAAAAUCACAAUCAACAAAAAAACCCAGAAAAGGUUUCUUAAUCAAAAGCUAAAAAGAUACAAAAAUUGGAUGGAGGUGAUCAAAACUGCAAAGAAAGCAAAAUAUGAACAAACAAAAAUAUUAAACUUUUUCUUAUUGGAUACAAAUAGAGAGAAAGUAUGAUAAAAAGAAAUAAGAUAGUCAAAUAUAUUAGAUAUAACAUUCACUUUAUCAACUUGUGUCAUACAUGUUAUCACACAUUUGUUGUUCUAUGUUGCUGGAUUUUUGUUGCACCAUCUGUGUUGAUGCACCUCCUUUUCCGUGUUGUUGGGUUGCCUGNNNNNNNNNNNNNNNNNNNNNNNNNNNNNNNNNNNNNNNNUUUUUGCUUGAAAUUGAAUCUUUUGGGUGUAUAGUCUUUCAUUGCUUGGCAGCGCUUUUGCUUCCAAUCCUUUGUAUUUGUUUUGGAAUUGCGGUUCUUUUUGUGUGGCUUACUGUCUAGGUGUUUUCCUUUUUGGCUAUUUAUAAGUCUUUUGUAGCAGGCUGAACUUGUUGUUUUCUCUCCAACUUAGGCAUGUCUUCUGCUUUAAUUUGUGUAGUAAUAUAUAGAUUGUUGAAAACAUAAUAUUGUUGAAGAUGAUAGUAUAUUGUUGAAAAUGAUAUAUUAUAAUUAUUGUUUUAUAUUUGUGGGUAUUCAUUCACCGUUGUUAUUGUUGCCUAUUUUCUCAGGUCUCAUGUAUUGGUGUUGAAGACAAACUAUGUAGAUAGAGAUGCUAAGAAAUUGGAUGAAUACAUCAAGUUCCAAUUUUGCUAGUGAAUAUAUAGUAAGAGAGCAAAAAAUACCUCAUGGAUUUAGUAUCUUUGUAGAGGAGGACAACACUUUUAGAAAAGUUUCCUUUUUUUUUUUAUACUCAGUGUACCUGCAAAAUGAUAGUCAAUUUUAGAGCAUGAAGUAUAAUAUGUGAAAAGUGAAAACAAUAGCAUAGCAUGAAAUACAAUUUAUGAAAACAAAAUCUCAAAUAUGAUUGGCAUAAGAAGAAAAGGAGAUUUGAUAAUAUUGCAGACGAUAUGAAAAUAAAUUCUCAAUAUGAAUGGCAUAAAAGAGGAAGGUUUUAACAAAAUACACCUCAAGAUUU
rnacentral:lncRNA from 1 species